rnacentral:rRNA from 1 species
AUUGAACGCUGGCGGCAUGCCUUACACAUGCAAGUCGAACGGCAACGUGGGCUUCGGCCUCGCCUCGCGUGGCGAACGGGUGGGUAAUGCACACGAACGUGCCCUGCCUAGGGGGCUAGCCUGGCGACAGGAGGCCUGAUCCCGUAUCCGACAUUAUAGUGAAAGGGGGGGUCCGAUAGUGCACGACCGUUUUGCGCUGCCGAUGACGGGGUAGCUAGUUGGUUGGGUAAAGGCUUAACAAGGCGACGAUCCGUAGCAGGUCUGAGAGGACGACCUGCCACACUGGGACUGAGACACGGUCCAGACUCCUACGGGAGGCAGCAGUGGGGAAUUUUGGACAAUGGGAGCAACCCUGACCCAGCAAUGCCGCGUGAGGGAAGAAGGCCUUCGGGUUGUAAACCGCUUUUGUUCGGGAAGAAAUCCUGUGGGCGAAUACCCCGGGGGGAUGACGGUACCUGAAGAGUAAGCACCGGCUAACUACGUG